CAGUACAAACUGAGCAGGCGAUGCCCUCCACCGGGGCAUGGGGCCGGGCCGCCGCGGCGGCAGCAGAUGAACUUACGGCAUCUGUGGGACAGU
rnacentral:ncRNA from 1 species